CUCUCUCUGCUUUCCCCUUCUCCCUUUCACUUCCAUAACCCACUAAAUAAAUAUCCAACUUCACUCUGCAUGGCGUGCCUAUCUGUCUCGGUUUCUCACCAGCCACAUGGCUUCUUAACCUGGAACCUGGCUGCCUUCGUGGCCUGCUGUGGUCUCGCUCCCUGCUGCCUGCUCCCUGCUGCCACUUGGGGACCUGCAGCAUUUUUACUUAAACCCUUACAUUGUACCAUUGGACUCAGUAGGUCCUCCUGUCCCUCUCCCAGGGUCGGGAUCUGGAACUGGGUAUUUUUUCCACAUCAACCACGUGCUCCAUCUGCCUGAGCUUGGACCUCUAUGCACGCCAACAACUUCGGUGGUGAGUUUUCCCCUUCCAGCCUCCAAACACAUCUUUUACCAGUACAGUUGAGCCCUUCUCUGCUUUCUGUAGUUAAAAACAUGACCGGUCAUCCUGGGGUCAGUCCUCCUGUGCUAGCACUGUACAUGCUGUGCAGGGCAUUUGACUGGGGGCCCAGGGUCCCUCAGAUUUUUCUUUCUCCUUUUUUCUUUUCUUUUGGACCACUCAUCAGUGGUCCCUGCCCUGAGAAGCCACUUGGAGCGGCCUCAAGCUUCACUGGCUUCUGAGUCUCCCAGACUAGAGCCAGUCAGACUUUAACACCUCACCCACAGAGAGAGGACGCUCUUCGACAAGCCCUGCCGUGUUCACUGCCGUUUCACACCGCCAUCUUUACUGAGAGACAGGUUGGCUCCUAGCGGCAGCAGUUUAUUUUCUCCAAAGAAGACAGAAGACAAAGGGGCACAAAACAAUGUUCAUCCACACUUUGUUUCAACUGCCAAGUGUUGACCACUAGGAAAACUGCCUUUCAUCUAAACUGAAGAUCUCCAGACAGUGGACAGAAUUGCUGGAAUUGACAGCCUAGCUGCUCAGGUCAAGUUAUAGUUGACAUGAAUUGAAGCUCUAGAAUCCUCUGGAAGCAUCCAUUCAGUGAAGGAAGCUGUGAAAUACAGAAAUGAGGACAAGACUGUGGGAAACACACGUGACUGACACAGCAGGAAGAGCAGUGAGGAGGGAGCCGCAUGCCUGAAGGUCCGUGUGGUUGCGACAUCAUUCACCAGUAAAAGAACUUCAUCUGUCAGAGCUACACAGAGUGGAGGACAUGGGUCUGUGGGAUGUGCUAAUUCCUCCAAGGAUUUCCAGGCCUAGAGCCUUAGAGUGAAACUGCAUAUGCCAAGUCAGACAUUGUCAUAGAAAAGCAAAGAUUUUUUGAAGUCACUUGCUGUGGUUCAAUAUGGAUUAACACAGGGCCCUCACAAUUACAAGACAGCAGCAGCUUUCUGCUAACUGUGAGUUCCAGGAGACAGGAGUUGCACACAUUGUACGGGGCACACACUUAUUCCCCAAGAACACUGAUGAUUACACUUUUACCCAAGGCCAGGCAUGGGCUUCUGCCUCAUGCUCCAUCUUUUUUUUUUUUUUGAAGUGUUGGGAAUUGAAUUUAUGACCUCAUGAAUUUGAGGCAAGCACUCUGUCACUGAACUAUGUUCCUGGUCCUCUGUGCUUUGCCUAAACCUAAUAUUUUAGCCAUUACAGAAGAUUUUCCAGAGUUUUACAUCUUGAGUCAUUAUUUUUUACAAUCAAAUAUCAAGAAUUUGUAAAAAAUAUUCUCAGCUGUCAGUACAUAAAAAUUUCAGCAUAUAUAAGGCCCUCAGGCCUUAGUACAUAGAGGACUCACUUGAUUGCUCAUGAGUGAUGCUUGUCCCUGCCUAUAAUCCUCUUCCCUUGCCAAGACACAGUAGUUUUAGGUGGGGAAUGUGUGAAUAAGCAUUGCUACUAUUUAGGUUUUUAUCACCACCUAGUAACCCGGAAACCAAUAACAAUGGUGGGGCUGUAUUAGAUAAUUAAGGAGAAGCCUGAUGCUCUUAGCAGAAGAUUCAAAUUAUGCUUUGUGGAUACAGAGGUCUAACUAAGUUCUGAAGCUGCCUGUGUCUACCAGGAAUCCACAAUGACCCCCUGAAAAACAACAGAUCUGAAGGUGAGAUGUUUCCUUUAGCUGUUACUGGUAAAGUGUGAAGUGACCAGAAGUGAGAAGAGCUCCAUGCGUCUGUGGGCAGCAUGCAGUAUGCAGCUAACUGCGAUCAUUUUGCCUGAUACAGAAUCUGGAACAUCAUUAAAUACCUGCAUAAUCUUUACACAGCAAAAAUCCUUAUAAUCAUCAUUGUACAUAUAGAAAUAAAACCUGUGGAGGCCUGAAAAUGUGAGCCUGUUUCCACAUUGACCAAAGGUCAGAGAGUUGGAACUUGACUCUAGUUCCUUCAA